GUGACGGAGUUCGGCGACUACCAAUGGAAGGGCAGAUGUUCCCUUCUCUUUUCUACUCGCUAGCUAAAAAUUCACUCGCUAGCUAAAAUAAACUGACGAGGGAAAAACUUAUAAUUGCGGUGUCCGGUUUCCCCAUUAUUUAUGAUGCUUCUCUGGUUUCAUUAAGAGAUAAAAAAAUGGAUGCAUGGAAGUUUUCAAAAAUCGUUGGGAUCACGGGUGUUUCCCCUAUACCGAUUGACUGGUUGUCGCUGGCAUAAAUUAGGAAGAUGCUAGUUUCGGCUCAGCAACAGAGAUUGGGCGAUUUGCGAGUUGAGCGAGCAGACAGUACGUACGCUCCAUGGAGAAAAUCAAUUGUUGGAACGCAAGUAAAACAUCUCACAGUGACUCUGAACCAAUUCCAGAAACCCCAGCAACAGCACUUGUUCAACAGAGAGCGCCAUGUUACCAGAUAUCUUCAAGAACCCAAGAGUUCCCAAGAUUCACGUACAGUUUAUCUACAGCUGCUAGAAUCAGCUGUUGUCACAGUCAAGGAUGUUGCAGAGGUCUUUGCCAAAUUAAUCAAAAUAAAAUGCCAGUGAGAUAUCCUCCAGCUAUUUACACUGCCUGCAGUUAGCUUUGACCAUGGUUACAAAGAGAGGUAAUGUACCUGCUGAUGUAAUUUUAACAAGCAGUUUUGCAGAGGCUGCUGGGAUAAUACAUUACAAACUGAUCUCCAGCUAGAACAGAGGAGAAGCGAUCCAGCUUUGUUUUUCAAUUUGCUGCAUCUACUACAUACAUAAAACUGGAAAUGCAAUUUGUAUGAAUCAGCACCUCAGAGUCUAGAAACAACAUGUUGUAUCACAGUUACAGUGGUGCUUGUGGACUGCUUGUGUUUAAGCCUGACACCCAGAAAACCUAGAAACAAUGCAUUCGAGAUUGUUUUAUAGUGAUUCUAUUAGCUAUAUUUCAUAGAGAACGGCUGUACUGUGCAUGGACAGGGUGA